GAAUGUGAAAAACAUUAAACACAAGAAAUAACUGAAUAAUACUAGCAUUGCAAUUGAGAAAAAUACUACUCAAAACUACGUGAUUCAAGUAGCUUGAAAUAGAUUCAUCUCAAGACCAAACCUAAAGUUUUAGCUGCUCAUAAUUAUUACAAACAUUGCAAUAGAGUUAAAGAAGAUACAGAUAAGAGUAGGAUGAAUAUGCUUCAAUCUUGCUUUCAAUACUUGAAUCAAUUUCUUCGACCUUCUACAAUGCCCAAAAUCUCCAACUUUAAUGCAAAAUUCAAAACCCUUACACAUAUCUCAAUUUUCCUUUUUAUAAAGCAAGAAAUGGGUCUGACACGGCAGAAGCUGGUCUAAAAUGAAUGUAAUAACUAAGGCUAUGUUUGGAUUGGUGGUAAAGGAUGGAAUGGAAUGGAAUGGAGUGGUCACUAACUAAGUUCCAUUGUUUGGAUUUGCAAAAAAUGAAUGGAGUGAAAUGGAUCACAAUGGAACUCAUUCCAUCCCAUACCAUUCAAUCUUCUAAUUUUCUUUCCCCUCCAAAUUGGGGUGUAUGCAAUGGAAUGAAUAUUUAUAAAAUAUAUCCAAACAAUGAAAUGAUAUCUUUACUCCAUUCCGCUCCGUUCCACUCCAUUCCAUUAUGUUUCAUUCCGCUCCAUUCCAUUUUGUACCACCAAUCCAAACAUAGCCUAAGAGUCAUCAUUCACCAUCUUGCACAUCUCCAAUN
rnacentral:lncRNA from 1 species